CGAGAGCAUGGUCUUGUCAUUGACGGUCCACUGUUCAUCCAAAUAAGACCGUAGCCCUUUCUUUCCACGGGCUGGCACCGUAGGCUGGAAUGUCUGUCCUCGGCAAGGGAAGCGAGGGUAUGGGGGAAGGGAGAAUGACAAAGUCACCGUAACGUUCUUCACCACCGAAUGUCCGAGGAGAUGUCAGGAGAAUCUCCGGCCUCAUCUGCAAGAAUACCCCGGCGUUUUAAACGCUACCGGAAUCGCACCGAACGCUAGCGCUGGAACGUCUGGAAGCGACAAGAGAGACUAGACAAGGACUCCUGGUCCUCGUCGCAACGGGUGCUUCGAAAAGUUCGGGAGACCUCACGGGACUCUCCGGCGCAUCUUGAGAAGACCCGCGUUGUUCAAAACGGAAUGUCUGGACGUG